CAAGGAAUAGUUUAAGUAGAAUUCCAGCUUUGGGAGUUGGAGGUAGGAUUAAAAAUCUUUUCCUUGA
rnacentral:tRNA from 1 species